UACGUAGGGGGCAAGCGUUGUCCGGAAUCAUUGGGCGUAAAGCGCGUGUAGGCGGUCCGGUAAGUCCGCUGUGAAAGUCCAGGGCUCAACCCUGGAAAGCCGGUGGAUACUGUCGGGCUAGAGUCCGGAAGAGGCGAGUGGAAUUCCUGGUGUAGCGGUGGAAUGCGCAGAUAUCAGGAGGAACACCGAUAGCGAAGGCAGCUCGCUGGGACGGUACUGACGCUGAGGUGCGAAAGCGUGGGGAGCGAACAGG
rnacentral:rRNA from 1 species